rnacentral:rRNA from 1 species
UACAGAGGGUGCGAGCGUUAAUCGGAAUUACUGGGCGUAAAGCGCGCGUAGGCGGCUUUGCAAGUCGGGUGUGAAAUCCCCAGGCUUAACCUGGGAACUGCAUUCGAGACUGCAUUGCUAGAGUAUGGGAGAGGGAAGUGGAAUUUCCGGUGUAGCGGUGAAAUGCGUAGAUAUCGGAAGGAACAUCAGUGGCGAAAGCGGCUCACUGGCCCGGUACUGACGCUGAGGUGCGAAAGCGUGGGGAGCAAACAGG